rnacentral:rRNA from 1 species
AUUGAACGCUGGCGGCAGGCCUAACACAUGCAAGUCGAGCGGAUGAAGCGAGCUUGCUCCUGGAUUCAGCGGCGGACGGGUGAGUAAUGCCUAGGAAUCUGCCUGGUAGUGGGGGAUAACGUCCGGAAACGGGCGCUAAUACCGCAUACGUCCUGAGGGAGAAAGUGGGGGAUCUUCGGACCUCACGCUAUCAGAUUAGCCUAGGUCGGAUUAGCUAGUUGGUGGGGUAAAGGCCUACCAAGGCGACGAUCCGUAACUGGUCUGAGAGGAUGAUCAGUCAGACGGGAACUGAGACACGGUCCAGACUCCGACGGGAGGCAGCAGUGGGGAAUAUUGGACGAUGGGGGAAAGCCGGAUCCAGCCAUGCCGCGUGUGUGAAGAAGGUCUUCGGAUUGUAGAGCACUUUAAGUUGGGAGGAAGGGCAGUAAGUUAAUACCGUGCUGUUUUGACGUUACCAACAGAAUAAGCACCGGCUAACUUCGUG